GACGGAGGGUGCAAGCGUUGUUCGGAAUUACUGGGCGUAAAGCGUACGUAGGCGGUUGAUUAAGUCAAAUGUAAAAGCCCGGGGCUCAACCCCGUGGUCGCACUUGAUACUGGUCGACUAGAGGGCGAUAGAGGAAAGCGGAAUUCCGAGUGUAGCGGUGAAAUGCGUAGAUAUUCGGAGGAACAUCGGUAGCGAAAGCGGCUUUCUGGGUCGCUCCUGACGCUGAGGUACGAAAGCGUGGGUAGCAAACGGG
rnacentral:rRNA from 1 species